AACAAGCAUCCUCAAAGGACAGGGGAAUAUUUGACUGCCAUUUCUUUAAUACAUUUUUUUACGAGAAGCUCAAAGAGGCUGUCGCAUAUAAGGGGAACGACAAGGAUAAACUUUUUGGUAAGUUUAGAAGGUGGUGGAAGGGUGUUAAUAUAUUCCAGAAGGCAUAUUUACUUAUUCCGAUUCAUGAAGAUGUACAUUGGAGUCUAGUGAUUAUUUGUAUCCCUGACAAGGAAGAAGAAUCUGGACCAAUUGUACUUCAUUUAGAUUCCUUAGGAGUCCAUUCUCCCAGAUCAGUUUUUCAAAAUAUUAAAAGCUAUUUGAAAGAAGAAUGGAACUAUUUGGAUCAAGAAGUCGCCAUUUCAGAUAUUCCUAUUUCAGACAGUAUAUGGAACCAACUUCCCAAUAAAAUUGAAGAGAAAAAACUUG